GAUGAACGCUGGCGGCGUGCCUAAUACAUGCAAGUCGAGCGAACGGACAAGAAGCUUGCUUCUCUGAUGUUAGCGGCGGACGGGUGAGUAACACGUGGAUAACCUACCUAUAAGACUGGGAUAACUUCGGGAAACCGGGGCUAAUACCGGAUAAUAUUUUGAACCGCAUGGUUCAAAAGUGAAAGACGGUCUUGCUAUCACUUAUAGAUGGACCCGCGCUGCAUUAGCUAGUUGGUAAGGUAACGGCUUACCAAGGCAACGAUGCAUAGCCGACCUGAGAGGGUGAUCGGCCACACUGGAACUGAGACACGGUCCAGACUCCUACGGGAGGCAGCAGUAGGGAAUCUUCCGCAAUGGGCGAAAGCCUGACGGAGCAACGCCGCGUGAGUGAUGAAGGUCUUCGGAUCGUAAAACUCUGUUAUUAGGGAAGAACAUAUGUGUAAGUAACUGUGCACAUCUUGACGGUACCUAAUCAGAAAGCCACGGCUAACUACGUG
rnacentral:rRNA from 1 species